rnacentral:rRNA from 1 species
GACGAACCGUGCGAACGUUGUUCGGAUUCACUGGGCUUAAAGGGCGCGUAGGCGGAUUCGCAAGUCCGGGGUGAAAUCUUUCGGCUCAACCGGAAAAGUGCCUUGGAUACUGCGAGUCUCGAGGGAGACAGGGGCCGCGGGAACUUCCGGUGGAGCGGUGAAAUGCGUUGAUAUCGGAAGGAACGCCGGUGGCGAAAGCGCGCGGCUGGAUCUCUUCUGACGCUGAGGCGCGAAAAGCUAGGGGAGCAAACGGGG